rnacentral:rRNA from 1 species
GAAAAACCUUACCUACCCUUGACAUGUCCGGAAUCCUGAAGAGAUUUGGGAGUGCUCGCAAGAGAGCCGGAACACAGGUGCUGCAUGGCUGUCGUCAGCUCGUGUCGUGAGAUGUUGGGUUAAGUCCCGCAACGAGCGCAACCCUUAUCCUUAGUUGCCAUCAUUCAGUUGGGCACUCUAAUGAGACUGCCGGUGACAAACCGGAGGAAGGUGGGGAUGACGUCAAGUCCUCAUGGCCCUUAUGGGUAGGGCUUCACACGUCAUACAAUGGUCGGUACAGAGGGUUGCCAACCCGCGAGGGGGAGCUAAUCUCACAAAGCCGAUCGUAGUCCGGAUCGCAGUCUGCAACUCGACUGCGUGAAGUCGGAAUCGCUAGUAAUCGUGGAUCAGCAUGUCACGGUGAAUACGUUCCCGGGUCUUGUACACACCGCCCGUCACAACCAUGGGAGUGGGUUUCACCAGAAGUAGGUAGUCUAACCGCAAGG